UACGUAGGUGGCGAGCGUUGUCCGGAUUUACUGGGCGUAAAGAGCGCGCAGGCGGUCGUUCAAGUCGCGUGUGAAAGCCCCCGGCUCAACUGGGGAGGGUCACGCGAUACUGAUCGACUCGAAGGCAGGAGAGGGAAGUGGAAUUCCCGGUGUAGUGGUGAAAUGCGUAGAUAUCGGGAGGAACACCAGUGGCGAAGGCGGGUCUCUGGGCAGUAACUGACGCUGAGGAGCGAAAGCGUGGGGAGCGAACAGG
rnacentral:rRNA from 1 species